UCGCCAGCCUAGCAACACGUGCUUGCUUAUUCUGAUACCUCCGCCCGGCCCCUGCGUUCUGGGGCCGCAGGUGGGAAAAGGGUGCUCCUUCUAAGGGGGAUUUCAAGUUUGGGGUUUUACUGGGCCUUGCCGCUGGGAGGCUGGGGGACCAGGGUUCUGGCCCCGACCUGGCUGCUGGUGGGAGCGUGGGGAAGUCAACCCACCUCCCUAGGCUCUGCGUUUGCUCUGCUCUGACAGGAGGCUGUUGGACUGGAGAAAAGGUCAUGUCCUUUCCACUUAGAGAUAAGUCCCGGGAGACCUAGCCAGCGCCGUGUUUUUCCUAGCUCUGAGUAUAUUUAGGUUUCUCAGUUCGUGACAAGCCAGGAGGUGCCUGGUUUCCACGAGGUGGCAAUCUGUGGGGUAACAUUGUCUGCUUCUUACUGUUUCAGUUAAGACCCUUCAGUUUUAGAUUUUACAAACUCACGUGAACGAGCUUGAGUAAACUAGAGGAAAGUUAGUUUAUGGAUAGAGGGUUCACUCGUGGGCCCACAGCCUGGGAUGCAGGCAGGCUCAGCAAGUUCGCCCUUCCUCCUUCUCUUCCCUUGUCUUCUCUGUUUCUGCUGCUUUAUUUUUGUUAGCCAGCUGGCUUCCUCCCGGCCUACUUCUCAGUCUGCGGGGCCUAGAAGACCGUCCCACACAGCGACGAUCGGUUUCCGUCUGCUGGGUUCAACGGACGGCCUCGGGGCAGCCGCGCCUGAAACUGAGGUUCCACAUUUUAGGCGCAGAACAUGGGAUUGGCCCAGCUCGGAUCACGUGCCCAGGCCUUAGCCAAUCAGCUGUGAGGGGAGGGUCAGUCAUUGGUAGAGCCUGGCUGCCUAGCUUCGCUCGGUGGGUACCGGGCUCACUGGGUCAGCCGGCUAGACGUGCCGCAGCGUGUCUGCUGCGUAACCCUGCUGUGCAACCCCGACGCCUGCUUUCAGCAGGGCGCGAAGUAGUUUCCUCGGCCACAGCUCUCUGGGUGCUGACUCAGCCUUCACCCUCUAACAAGGCUGAACAUCCCUGCUUGUUCCCACUCUGUUCCUCAUUUGGUGAUCUGCCUAAGAGAGACCUGUGGGCAGAAAGACACAACCCCACUGGCAGUGCUGUAAAUUUCACUACUCCUUAAAGCUGUCUCUGAGAGGUGCGUCAACAUUGCGAUUUGACUGAAGGGAAAAUUGAGGCCCUGAGAAAUCAGGCAAUAGAAGAAAUCCAGAGUCCAGAUCAAGACUGGAACCCUGUCCCAAGUUCCAUGGACUCAAGGGUCCAUGUGCUGGUUCCCUGGGCCCACAUGGAUUCCCAAACCUGGGGAGGUCUGGCCUAGUGGUGGUCUGGUGGCCCCACUGUGGGGGCUGUCACACUGGCACCUUUCACAGAUACUGCGAACAGUAGAAGAUGCCAUCGUGGACACAUAGAAACAGGUCUUCCUGUAAGAGCCUCUGCGACACAACCCUGAAUGUGCAAGUAUGGUGACUUAAGGAAACAAGACUUAUUUACCCUGAAUUUUUCUGUUAGGAAGAAAAAAAAAUUUUGUGUUAUCUUUCUGAAACCACCACCUGUCAUCUGCGCUGUACUUGGCCUAAUGGGGCCCCACAAGAAAGAAAGGAGCCCAUUACGUAGAGGAAUCUCCGGUGAUCGUGCCGAGCUGUGUGGAAAUGACUGCUGGAAUCAACGGAUGGGGUGGGCAAGGUCCGCUGGGGGUAUUUCAUAGGCUGACCCCAGCAUCCAGACCCUGGACUCAAAUUAUGGAUCAUUGCACAAAUCCUGGAUCCUCUGCUAUAUCCGUCUAUUUGGUCCACUGUUUUCACAAUUAUAAAAGAAAUGGAUAUUUAUUGUAAAAUGUCUGGAAGAUACAUGCAUAUAUAAAGAAAAAAUAAAAAUGGCGGGGAAUAACCA
rnacentral:lncRNA from 1 species